UAUGACAGAACCUUAGGUGCAGCGGCCAAUGCAUUUUACAUUCUCUGUGAGAUCUGGGAGGCAUGGUUUCACUGUGGUGGCCUGUGCCAGCAGCAGAGGCCCUCUGAGGGUCUCCAGUGCCAGGCCACAGACCUAAAGCAGUGCCUGUCAGCGGCUUUAGAGCCGGGCAACCAGCCAGACUCCUGGUGCUGCUGCCGCCAACUGUGAAGCCUCAGGGAGCCUGCUCAGUGCUUGGUGAUACAGUGGUAAUAUACCUCAUCAGACUGCCCUGUGGACUGAAUGCAACAAUGUAUCCAGUUGAGCGCCUGGCACAGAACAGGAUUGCUGCCAUCUCUGAAGGAGCACCAGUGGCCCUGAGACAGCAGCAAUGGACACUGGCUAUGAACUUCGCUCCUAUGACUGAGGUCUAGGCUUCAGGUCCUGUCUUCACCACUUAAUGUAUUAACAGCAGAGGAAGAUGGUUACCAUCGCUACAUAACGUCACUGCCACUUGCCCGGUGUGGUCAGCCAUUUUUAUUUGACUCAUAAAAAUGAGGACGUAGCUGUGUUCCACUGUGGCUCUGUGUUUCCCUUGGACGAGUAUAAUUAGUGACACAAACCCUUUCAUCUGCUUAGUGUCCAUUUGCAUAUCUUCUCUA
rnacentral:lncRNA from 1 species